rnacentral:rRNA from 1 species
GGGGAAUUUUCCGCAAUGGGCGAAAGCCUGACGGAGCAAUACCGCGUGAGGGAUGACGGCCUAUGGGUUGUAAACCUCUUUUUUCAGGGAGGAAACAAAUGACGUUACCUGAAGAAUAAGCAUCGGCUAACUCCGUGCCAGCAGCUGCGGUAAGACGGAGGAUGCAAGUGUUAUCCGGAAUCACUGGGCGUAAAGCGUCUGUAGGUGGUUGAAUAAGUCAACUGUUAAAUCUUGAGGCUCAACCUCAAAACCGCAGUCGAAACUAUUCGACUAGAGUAUAGUAGGGGUAAAGGGAAUUUCCAGUGGAGCGGUGAAAUGCGUAGAGAUUGGAAAGAACACCGAUGGCGAAGGCACUUUACUGGGCUAUUACUAACACUGAGAGACGAAAGCUAGGGUAGCAAAUGGGAUUAGAUACCCCAGUAGUC